rnacentral:misc_RNA from 1 species
UUUACGUGUCGGCGUCUAGCAGGCUUGGGCGGGUUGCGGUUCGAUCGUCGGUCGACUUCUUUCCCUAGGGAGGCGUCUACGGAACGGUCGGCGUGACUCGUCUUGCGAUGGGACGACGUGUGAGUGGCGAUUGGGAUGUGUUUCCCGUGCAGGCUCCGUGCAUGUCGCAUCGAACUGCCUGGGUCUAUCCGUUUCAUUUGUGGGCUCGCGUCGGCGCCUUCGGGACCGGUCGCGACCGCUCGUUGGGUUCCUGUGCUUGAUAUCGAAUACGGCAGUUGGUUGGAUUGUUGUUCCCCUUAACGGUUUAUUGAUUCUCCCACGCCUACGCGGCGGAGACGGUGGAUAUCGUGCGGGCAUCGACGUUUUCCUCUGGAGCGGUUGUUUCCCCCUUCGGGACGAUCUGCUUGCGAUGGCGCGUAGAUGUUUCCGGCACACUCUUGGGUACGGAGAUUUUCUGGUCCUCGCGUAGGUCUUCGACCUCCGCGGACGUGACGCAUCGGAGCGUCCUCGCUCCUUCCGCAUGUACGACCCUCGUGCUCGCCCGAGAGCUCACCGGGCCACUCGUCGGUGUUCUUCUCGGGGAGCCGACGAUCUACAGAGGAAUGCUACCUGGUUGAUCCUGCA